rnacentral:rRNA from 1 species
GAUGAACGCUGGCGGCAUGCCUUACACAUGCAAGUCGAACGGCAGCACGGGAGCAAUCCUGGUGGCGAGUGGCGAACGGGUGAGUAAUAUAUCGGAACGCGCCCAGUCGUGGGGGAUAACGUAGCGAAAGCUACGUUAAUACCGCAUACGAUCUAUGGAUGAAAGCGGGGGAUCGCAAGACCUCGCGCGAUUGGAGCGGCCGAUAUCAGAUUAGGUAGUUGGUGGGGUAAAAGCCUACCAAGCCUUCGAUCUGUAGCUGGUCUGAGAGGACGACCAGCCACACUGGAACUGAGACACGGUCCAGACUCCUACGGGAGGCAGCAGUGGGGAAUUUUGGACAAUGGGCGCAAGCCUGAUCCAGCAAUGCCGCGUGCAGGAUGAAGGCC